rnacentral:rRNA from 1 species
UUCGCGACUCCAUGCAGUCGAGCGGAUGAAGGGAGCUUGCUCCUGGAUUCAGCGGCGGACGGGUGAGUAAUGCCUAGGAAUCUGCCUGGUAGUGGGGGAUAACGUCCGGAAACGGGCGCUAAUACCGCAUACGUCCUGAGGGAGAAAGUGGGGGAUCUUCGGACCUCACGCUAUCAGAUGAGCCUAGGUCGGAUUAGCUAGUUGGUGGGGUAAAGGCCUACCAAGGCGACGAUCCGUAACUGGUCUGAGAGGAUGAUCAGUCACACUGGAACUGAGACACGGUCCAGACUCCUACGGGAGGCAGCAGUGGGGAAUAUUGGACAAUGGGCGAAAGCCUGAUCCAGCCAUGCCGCGUGUGUGAAGAAGGUCUUCGGAUUGUAAAGCACUUUAAGUUGGGAGGAAGGGCAGUAAGUUAAUACCUUGCUGUUUUGACGUUACCAACAGAAUAAGCACCGGCUAACUUCGUGCCAGCAGCCGCGGUAAUACGAAGGGUGCAAGCGUUAAUCGGAAUUACUGGGCGUAAAGCGCGCGUAGGUGGUUCAGCAAGUUGGAUGUGAAAUCCCCGGGCUCAACCUGGGAACUGCAUCCAAAACUACUGAGCUAGAGUACGGUAGAGGGUGGUGGAAUUUCCUGUGUAGCGGUGAAAUGCGUAGAUAUAGGAAGGAACACCAGUGGCGAAGGCGACCACCUGGACUGAUACUGACACUGAGGUGCGAAAGCGUGGGGAGCAAACAGGAUUAGAUACCCUGGUAGUCCACGCCGUAAACGAUGUCGACUAGCCGUUGGGAUCCUUGAGAUCUUAGUGGCGCAGCUAACGCGAUAAGUCGACCGCCUGGGGAGUACGGCCGCAAGGUUAAAACUCAAAUGAAUUGACGGGGGCCCGCACAAGCGGUGGAGCAUGUGGUUUAAU